AUUGUUUGUUAUUCUCUACAUUUGCUUCAGCUAGCUAUAGACUGAUCAGAACAAAGAUAUAUACAUGUAGAUACUGUAGCCUCUGGAUUAUUCUAGCAAGAAAAUGUCUGACUAUCUCACAAUAGCAGAUCUAAACAAAGUGUACCUCGUUAUGUUUGAUGCUCGAAUCAAGUGGCGAAACAUCUUAAAGUCUCUGCAGCUAUAGAUCUACCCUCGAAACCAUCGGCAAUGAAUGGAGUAACAAUCCUGAUGACUGCUAUCGUAUAUCGUGAGGGUCUGUUAGAAUGGCUGAAAGCUAGCUACUUGGUCUGAGCUCCUUAAUUGUAACCGAGUUCAUUCGCAGCCAGGAAAAGUGUUACCGCCCACUAUGACGUGGACAAAUCUGAUUGGCACUGCCAACAUUCUAGCAGGGGUCCACGGAAUUGCUGCAAUAGUGACCAGACGUUCCCUCCCUCCCACGUCCCUAUAA